GGCAGUUGCCGCUCUCCUCCAGCGGUAUUGCUGCAACUCUCCCAGCCGGGUCGUAGAGGGAGCUCUCUGCUGCAUCAGGCUGCAGGAGCCCCAGAGCAAGAGCCCAGCGAGCAGGGGCCCGGAGCUCCGCACUGAGGGGCCAAGAAGGAACUGGCUGGAUGCGGGGAUGUGGGAGAUGUUAGAAGCGAUGAGCUGCUGCUGGAGCUCAGGGCUGUUCUGCUGGGAGACGCUCCGCUAACAGGCCGCAGCCAUCAGGGAGAGCUCCCGGCCUGAGCGGAGCUCCGGGCCGCUUUAAAAGGACACGUUCGGCCGGAUCGAGGAGUUUGUGGCUUAAUGGGAGCUUUUUUAUUCGCAUUUUAAGACUGCGCAGCGAAGAGGGCCUUUCAUCCUGAGCUAGCAUAACAAGCUAACCGCACCGAAGUCAGCGUCUGAUUCGGAGCCUUUUUCUAAGAUCUGCAGAAAAUUUUAGCUUUAAACUCAUUUCCUCCGUUUGGACCAGAAAUGAUUUAAAACACGAGAUUUUAUCACCUCAACCUUUUAGUUAGUCUGAUCUGAUGGCGGCUUCACCUUUGAUUACCUGUCUAACCAAAGCAGGUGAAGGCUGACGUCACUGAGCGUUUAAUCUGGAUUACUGGGAAUAAAUCAGCCCGUAAAGGUUCCCUCUGCCUGACCUGCAGCAGCAGAGCAGCCUGUGGUUCUGCUGCUGGGUGUCAUAGAUUCUUCCUCUCAGUGACGCGGUUCUGCGUGGGUACCGGUACCUCAGCAGCGUGGGUCGGUCCUCUGAAUGGAUACAAUCAGCAUCUCCAUCUAUCUCCCUCAGCAUCAUGGAUCAUUCUAAAGGUUCCUGGAAGGCACUGAAUCGACUUUCCACCUGAUGAAACUCAGCAGAUGACCUGAACUCAUCACCAUCAGCAGAAACUUUUGUCUCACAUGGUAUUAGAUAAUCUAACCAGAAACCAGGAAUGAAAAACAUCUGGAAAGAAUAUUUUUAUUAUUUUUGUUCACAGAAUAAAAAAAUCUGAAAGUUAA